UGCGCGUGGAUCCGAGCGACCAUGGUGGCCCGGGUGUGGUCGCUGAUGAGUUCCUCAUCAAGGGAAGUGUGGCUGGGGGCGCCGUCUACCUGGUGUACGACCAGGAGCUGCUGGGGCCCAGCGACAAGAGCCAGGCAGCCCUACAGAAGGCUGGGGAGGUGGUCCCCCCCGCCAUGUACCAGUUCAGCCAGUACGUGUGUCAGCAGACAGGCCUGCAGAUACCCCACUCCCAGCCCCUCCAAAGAUUUACUUUCCCAUCCGUGACUCCUGGAAUGCAGCAUCAUGACGGUGAUGUCAGCUCUGUCGGUGGCCCCCUCCAAGGCCCGCGAGUACUCCAAGGAGGGCUGGGAGUAUGUGAAGGCGCGCACCAAGUAGCGAGUCAGCAGGGGCCGCCUGCCCCGGCCAGAACGGGCAGGGCUGCCACUGACCUGAAGACUCCGGACUGGGACCCCACUCCGAGGGCAGCUCCCGGCCUUGCCGGCCCAAUAAAGGACUUCAGAAGUGUUCCCUGACCCGUGUGCUGGCCCCAGGGAGCACAGGGUUGGCCUGGUGGUGCCCAGAGCACCGAGGCCU
rnacentral:lncRNA from 1 species